rnacentral:lncRNA from 1 species
GGAAGUUGAAAUCUAGGGGUCGCCAAUUGUAUCCAUCCAUUAUGUCCAAAACCCGCAUCAUUUUCAUGUUUGGAGGAAUAGUUCAAUCUGGUAGUAGAUUCCAUAAAACAUCGCGAUAAAGCCAAGGGUCAAGCCAGAGAUGAGAUGAGCCUUUAUCAAUAAGGUGCCUAAUAUUCCCGAUGGACUUUCUCUUACUUUCACGAAUGGAUCACAGAGCCGACGAACAUGAGGGGAUUUUUGGCGUAAUUCUGCUUCCUCAAUGCUGAGAGUGUGAUUUAAUAAGUCAAGAAGAUCCUUUUUUUCCAUGCUCUGUAAACGCAAAUCACUAGGAUCUUUGUCAAGCUCUAUUUGCACCAAAGAGAAUCUGACUCUGAUUUCCUCAAGUUUA